rnacentral:rRNA from 1 species
ACUAGCGUUGUUCGGAAUCACUGGGCGUAAAGCGCACGUAGGCGGGUGUGUCAGUCAGGGGUGAAAUCCCGGGGCUCAACCUCGGAACUGCCUUUGAUACAGCACGUCUCGAGUCCGGAAGAGGUGGGUGGAAUUCCUAGUGUAGAGGUGAAAUUCGUAGAUAUUAGGAAGAACACCGGUGGCGAAGGCGGCCCACUGGUCCGGUACUGACGCUGAGGUGCGAAAGCGUGGGGAGCAAACAGG